UUGGCAGUUUCUGUUGAACUCUUCACUGUUGGCUUCCAUCACAUAUCUUCUGAACACCGAAUUCUUUUUCUUUAUGACAGCUGAAGUUUUUCUUUCCAAUUUGACAUGAACUCAGUCACCAGAUUCUAGACGUGGCAGUUCUGAGUUCUGCCUGUUGUAAAAGUGUUCAUAAUCUUUUUUUCUUUUCUCCUUUUUAUCCAAUUUGGCAACUCUCUUCAUGUCUGGCCACUUUGGAAAAGACUCUCUCAGGUUGGAACAGCAGUGCUGAGUGGUCUUCCCAGCAGAAGUUGUGUAGAACUAGACCCAGUAGCUGCUCUUGCUGUUAUCUGUAACUUGGAGCAAGAAAUGGCUCUUCCAGCAGUAGGAUUUUCUUGACUGUUUUUACCACUCUCUCAGCCUCUCCAUUCACUUAACUUCUCCUAUGACCGUGGCCAAACAACUGUUCAUCUCACUACACCCAAGUGCACAAUGAAAAUUAAUGGGAAGCAGGAGUUAAGGGAUUACUGUCAGUCUCCUGACCCAGAAAGCCUGGAGAAGUUCUACAAUGACAAAAGACUUGCCAGGUCAAUCUAUUAAAUAAA